rnacentral:tRNA from 1 species
GCCAAGGUAGCUCAAGUGGUAGAGCGGCUGCCUUGUAAGCAGCAGGUCGCGGGUUCGAGUCCCGCCCUUGGCUCCA